UACAGAGGGUGCGAGCGUUAAUCGGAAUUACUGGGCGUAAAGCGCACGUAGGUGGCGACGUAAGUCGGGUGUGAAAGCCCCGGGCUCAACCUGGGAAUUGCAUUCGAGACUGCAUUGCUGGAGUACGGAAGAGGAGGGCGGAAUUCCCGGUGUAGCGGUGAAAUGCGUAGGUAUCGGGAGGAACAUCAGUGGCGAAGGCGGCCCUCUGGUCCAGUACUGACACUCAAGUGCGAAAGCGUGGGGAGCAAACAGG
rnacentral:rRNA from 1 species